AUGCUGCAGUGCUUGUUUGUAAGUCCCACAUGGAUUGAUUGUAUGUUGGUCUACACUUUGAAUUUCUAUCCUUGGUCCUAUUAUUAGAGAGGAUUGCAGGAAUUGUGUCCAAUAUAAGUCUGGAUUGAAAAGGGUGGACGCCAAGGCUUCAAUUUAAUUAUUUUGGCUAAGCUUUUCAAAUAAACAAUCUGUUUGGUUUCAAAUUAUUUUAUUU